UUCACACCGCACAAGCACACAGCCCUCCUCCCACUAGUUCACUUUAUCUUCCCCUUUUCUCUCUCUAGGUUUCAGCUACUUCUCCCUCUCGUGUGUUCAUUUCAUCUCCUCCCAUCUCUCUCUAGGAUUCCUCUCUCUCUCUACCCUCUCGCAUUCCACCCAUGGGCGCUCCUUCAGAUUUCAUCAGAAUUUUGCACGAUCCAGUCGCGGGUUGGAGGAAGGAUGUGCGGGAUUGAAGCAAGGAGGGAGGAGGGGAUGGGGGAGCGCAGAAAUCACCAGGGCAAGGGUUCCUCUCUCUCAUCUCACAUCCACCAGCGAUUCCUGGAUCCCAAUCGAGGGUUGGAGAAAGCAUCUGCAGGAUUGAAGCGGAGGAGAAGGGAUGAGGGUGGAAGCGCAGAAAUCAGGCCAAGGUCAUGGGCAUCAGGGCGUGCGAUUUCGAAAUCCGGUGAGGGAUCCGUUGGUCCCGAUGGAGGGGAAAUGAAAGCUGCAUACUGGAUCCGGUGAGUUCACCCACUCCCGUGCAUGCCCUCUGUUUGUGCAGUUGCUCACCCCUCUGAAUUUUUUGUGCUCCAUUAAGAUAGCAUUUUAUUCUAGUUGCUACCUGGUUGCAGAAAUAUGUACGUACAGGUCUGAAUUAUUGGGGUAUUUUAGUGUGUAUUACCCUGUAGUAGUACCGAUGCCCUGCCUCAAUUCUAGUUUCUGGUGUUUUGGUUUGUCGAAUUCUGUAUGUGCAGGGAAAUGUUUUUGUGUGUGUGGGUGGGGUGGGGCUAGAAAUCAACAACAGGAUGUGUCUUAUGAAUACAUGGCCCUGCAAUAGGACCUAUGCCAGCUUUUUUUUUUGCUGUUUUGGAUUUGUAGAAUCAUUUGGAUGCGGACAGAUACCUACUCCAGUCUGUUUAUAUGGAAUAACCUGAUCACUGAUGAAUCCUCUCUCUAUCUAUGUGUUCUGUAUUCAUGUUGGCAAUAAAAAUGAAUUGGAAGUUUAAGAAACAAUUAAGCAAGUGCAAAACUACAUGUUGGAUGCAUGUAAUCAAUAAACUUUUCCCCUAGCAUUAUCAGAAGCAUUUUAAAAAUUUUUGCAGGCAUUUAAAUACUAUUCAACUAGCAUUUUAAAUGUCCAGUUCAAGCAAUUUUUUUUACAUUUUCAUGUCUCAUGUGAUAGAUUAUCCUUUUUUGUCUGGAACCAAGUUUGUUACAUCAUUACUUUCAUAGGAUAAAUAGAUUAGGUUCCAAUAGAUGAAUAAGCAUAUGACUUUUUUUGAGUGAAAAGUUCCUCGCUCAUUUCCCUAUACAAUUUGGAGCAGUGUGACUUGGUUGACUUGCAAAUCAUGUCUUCCUCUUUACCUGAGCAUUCACCCCCUUAGCUAGUACAUCAUUACUUCUUCCUCUUUUCCGCCAUUUAACUUUUGAUCUUGGUGGGUUGUUUAUGUUUGGCGAUGUUGUUGCAUGACCAGAGGCAGAAAGAUUAGUUGGGUUAUUAAGGAUUUUAUAGUCAAGAUGCCACCAAUAUAAUAUGCCUGCAUGGGCAUAUAAUUAGUUACAGAGCUUCAUUAGGAAGUUAUAAAGUAAUAAUAGCUCUGAGAAUAGGCAAAUAAAUGUACUAUAAUCAGGUAGCAUUGCCAUAAGGUUUGAACAUUGCCAUAAGUUAUAGUGGGUUGUAGCCUUUGUGUAUCUGUGUAGAAAAUCAGUAAAUCUGAAGCCGCAGUUCUUUUUAAUAAAUUGCGUUUGUAUGUGUUCUUAUUUGCCUUUGUCUAUGUCCUAAUUUACUUUUGUAUAUGCACUAUGUGUGUGUUCGAGCUUUUAGUUGUACUGCAACCAUCUAGUUGCUCUCCUUUUGCAAUUAUUGUCUCACUAGUAGUAUUUGGGUUCCAGGAAUGGAGCUUCAAUGCGGUUUCUGAAUGUGAAAUGGUUAUUUUCUUCUUUUUUACAUCAUCAUAAGCAUUUCAAUACUUUGCAGCAGGCAUUUUUGUCAAAUAGUAGAAGCAUUUUCAGGAGUUUCUUAUAGAGAAUUAUAUCAAUUACUAGAAGCAUUUCACUACUUUCCUGUACUGUAGGCAAAUACAUCAAAUACAAGCAUUUCAACACUUCUCAGUAGGCAAAUACAUUAAAUACUAGAAGCAUUUUUAGAACUAGACAAUAAUAUUGGUAGGUAUUGGGCAAUAAUAUUGUUCUUCAUAGGCAAUAAUAUGGGUUACAAUAGAUAUUUUAAUAUUUGAAUUAAUUGUUUGCAAGACCCGAAUUAGUUAUGAUUAUUACAUUUGUAGGUCAUAUGGUUGUGUCCAGAGAAUACGAAUAUUUGAAAUUGUUCAUUUUUAGUUUAGAUUUGUGUUCUAAUCUAAUAUUUUUAUGUUCAGACUACCUGCCAUUUUUUAUUUUUACUAAUUCAAUGCUUGUUUCAUUCAAAAUUCUGAGGAGUCUUGAAGUCUUGUUUUCUAUAGUUUAGAUGAACAGUUCCUUCAUGGUUCAGAAUGCAUUAUUUGUUGCCUGCAAGUUUCUUCAUUGAAUCAGCAACGUAACAUGUUCUUCAGCUUGGUGUUUGGUGGCCUAAAAGUUCAUCCGAUGACAAU